UUUUGUUUUGGUUGAUAGGAUCCCGGACAGAUCAUUGUUGUGGACUGUCUGAGUUUUUAAAGAAAAGUGUCGGAGGGCGAAGGAUUGCGGCAACAAAAAAAUACGCACUGCUUUACGGUACCUGGUCCCCGACAACGACCAACCAAGCGGCGGCGGACGUGGUACGGAGGACGCUUCUAGAAACCUUAAAAAAGAGCGCGCCAUCCGCUUCGUGGUCAUGGUCUGUCAGAGAACCUCAAGACGAACGUCGAGUACAUUAAGAUUGCCGGAACCCGGGCGGAUCGGCUAUCAACAACUUCGCCAACGGCAAACUCAUAAUUACGCACGCAGAUGCAGGUCGUCUGGGCCGCUUGGGACAACGUGUCCGAGAAUCCAAAAAUGCACGAGCUGCUGAGACUAGUGUUUCUGAGGCCACCGGAGUGGGCGGAAACAUAGAGGUUGCGGCGGUUAAGGGGUUACAUACAUGUAGAAAAUCACAAAAUGUCAUAUUACAGAUUUUUUUUUGAAUCCA